GACAAAUGUGGUAGGUGGUCGAAGUCAUC
rnacentral:piRNA from 1 species